rnacentral:lncRNA from 1 species
GUGGUCUUUACUUGAACUUGACGUGUUGUAAUUUAAAUAUCCAUCGUAAACAUGGUAAAUGAACCGUGUGUCGUUAUUUAAUAAAUUAUUCUAAAUAUAUGUAGACGGAAAUCGAUUUUAUGUAGAAACAAAACGUGACAGAUGGACAAGCAAGUGAAAAUCUAACAACAGUAAAGAUGGAUGAGAUAUGGAAAGAGAAUUCCCC